AGUGAACGCUGGCGGUAGGCCUAACACAUGCAAGUCGAACGGCAGCACAGUAAGAGCUUGCUCUUACGGGUGGCGAGUGGCGGACGGGUGAGGAAUACAUCGGAAUCUACUUUUUCGUGGGGGAUAACGUAGGGAAACUUACGCUAAUACCGCAUACGACCUACGGGUGAAAGCAGGGGAUCUUCGGACCUUGCGCGAUUGAAUGAGCCGAUGUCGGAUUAGCUGGUUGGCGGGGUAAAGGCCCACCAAGGCGACGAUCCGUAGCUGGUCUGAGAGGAUGAUCAGCCACACGGGAACGGAAACACCGUCCAGGGUCCUACGGGAGGCCGCAGUGGGGAAUAUUGGACAAUGGGCGCAAGCCUGAUCCAGCCGGACCGCGUGGGUGGAGGAGGCCUUCGGGUUGUAAAGCCCUUUUUUUGGGAAAGAAACGCAGCAGGUUAAUACGCCGCUGUUCUGACGGUACCCAAAGAAUAAGCACCGGCUAACUUCGUG
rnacentral:rRNA from 1 species